GAGCACUGUUUCGGCAAGGGGGUCAUCCCGACUUACCAACCCGAUGCAAACUGCGAAUACCGGAGAAUGUUAUCACGGGAGACACACGGCGGGUGCUAACGUCCGUCGUGAAGAGGGAAACAACCCAGACCGCCAGCUAAGGUCCCAAAGUCAUGGUUAAGUGGGAAACGAUGUGGGAAGGCCCAGACAGCCAGGAUGUUGGCUUAGAAGCAGCCAUCAUUUAAAGAAAGCGUAAUAGCUCACUGGUCGAGUCGGCCUGCGCGGAAGAUGUAACGGGGCUAAACCAUGCACCGAAGCUGCGGCAGCGACGCUGAUGCGUUGUUGGGUAGGGGAGCGUUCUGUAAGCCUGUGAAGGUGUGCUGUGAGGCAUGCUGGAGGUAUCAGAAGUGCGAAUGCUGACAUAAGUAACGAUAAAGCGGGUGAAAAGCCCGCUCGCCGGAAGACCAAGGGUUCCUGUCCAACGUUAAUCGGGGCAGGGUGAGUCGACCCCUAAGGCGAGGCCGAAAGGCGUAGUCGAUGGGAAACAGGUUAAUAUUCCUGUACUUGGUGUUACUGCGAAGGGGGGACGGAGAAGGCUAUGUUGGCCGGGCGACGGUUGUCCCGGUUUAAGCGUGUAGGCUGGUUUUCCAGGCAAAUCCGGAAAACUAAGGCUGAGGCGUGAUGACGAGGCACUACGGUGCUGAAGCAACAAAUGCCCUGCUUCCAGGAAAAGCCUCUAAGCAUCAGGUAACAUCAAAUCGUACCCCAAACCGACACAGGUGGUCAGGUAGAGAAUACCAAGGCGCUUGAGAGAACUCGGGUGAAGGAACUAGGCAAAAUGGUGCCGUAACUUCGGGAGAAGGCACGCUGAUAUGUAGGUGAAGUCCCUCGCGGAUGGAGCUGAAAUCAGUCGAAGAUACCAGCUGGCUGCAACUGUUUAUUAAAAACACAGCACUGUGCAAACACGAAAGUGGACGUAUACGGUGUGACGCCUGCCCGGUGCCGGAAGGUUAAUUGAUGGGGUCAGCGCAAGCGAAGCUCUUGAUCGAAGCCCCGGUAAACGGCGGCCGUAACUAUAACGGUCCUAAGGUAGCGAAAUUCCUUGUCGGGUAAGUUCCGACCUGCACGAAUGGCGUAAUGAUGGCCAGGCUGUCUCCACCCGAGACUCAGUGAAAUUGAACUCGCUGUGAAGAUGCAGUGUACCCGCGGCAAGACGGAAAGACCCCGUGAACCUUUACUAUAGCUUGACACUGAACAUUGAGCCUUGAUGUGUAGGAUAGGUGGGAGGCUUUGAAGUGUGGACGCCAGUCUGCAUGGAGCCGACCUUGAAAUACCACCCUUUAAUGUUUGAUGUUCUAACGUUGACCCGUAAUCCGGGUUGCGGACAGUGUCUGGUGGGUAGUUUGACUGGGGCGGUCUCCUCCUAAAGAGUAACGGAGGAGCACGAAGGUUGGCUAAUCCUGGUCGGACAUCAGGAGGUUAGUGCAAUGGCAUAAGCCAGCUUGACUGCGAGCGUGACGGCGCGAGCAGGUGCGAAAGCAGGUCAUAGUGAUCCGGUGGUUCUGAAUGGAAGGGCCAUCGCUCAACGGAUAAAAGGUACUCCGGGGAUAACAGGCUGAUACCGCCCAAGAGUUCAUAUCGACGGCGGUGUUUGGCACCUCGAUGUCGGCUCAUCACAUCCUGGGGCUGAAGUAGGUCCCAAGGGUAUGGCUGUUCGCCAUUUAAAGUGGUACGCGAGCUGGGUUUAGAACGUCGUGAGACAGUUCGGUCCCUAUCUGCCGUGGGCGCUGGAGAACUGAGGGGGGCUGCUCCUAGUACGAGAGGACCGGAGUGGACGCAUCACUGGUGUUCGGGUUGUCAUGCCAAUGGCACUGCCCGGUAGCUAAAUGCGGAAGAGAUAAGUGCUGAAAGCAUCUAAGCACGAAACUUGCCCCGAGAUGAGUUCUCCCUGACUCCUUGAGAGUCCUGAAGGAACGUUGAAGA
rnacentral:rRNA from 1 species